rnacentral:lncRNA from 1 species
AUCAAAUUAACUAACUCUAAGCUGGUGAAUCCAAUCUUUGAUUCUGGCUGAUGCUCGAACACUACACACAUAAUCAAUUUCCCUCACCAGUUGACUUGAAUUCUUUGAUCUGCCUUCAAAUCAGCGUUGAUUUCUUUCUAUCUAUAUUGCAUACACCCAUUCUGUAUAUGCCAUCUUGAACACUUGAGCUCUUUUUGUUCUGCCUUUUGCUCUUUCAAUGAUCCAGUUCUCCAUCUGCUCUCAUUGUGCUAUUUUGAAAUGCUGAACCUUCAUCCAUUUUAGUACCCCUUCCCAGAUUUUCAUAGAAUAAGGACAUUCCAUGAAUAAAUGGCUCCUUGUUUAAUUAUGCCUAUUGCACAAUUUGAAUACAAGAUCCACACUUAUGCCCCCAGCAGCAAUUCUAUCCACUGUUAGUAAUUUCCCUUGCAUCUUAGCCACAUUGUGAACUGGGCUUUUGGUCGAGCAUCAUUCCCAAACCUUAGUGUCUUCCAUGGUAUCCUCUCAUUGUUGCCAAUUAGUUGAAGGUAAAUCUUCUUGAUUAAGUUGUUUUUGUUGUUGUGUUGAACCAAUGUCACAGAUCUUCCUGCUUCAAAGAUUCUCCUCACCAUCCAUCCUGCAUGCAUAGGUAUGACCAUUUGAUCAAACUGUUGGUACUUAAUAUAGUAAUAGUGUACUCAUCUGAUCCACGGUCUGUCCACCUUAUGUUCAAUGUCCCAGUUAGCUUUAAUUAUUGUUGCCUUAUUCCAUAGUCUUAUAUUUAUCAAUCCUAAUCUACCCAUUAAUUUUGGAGUGCACACUUUCUCCCAUGCUAACAGAGCUUUUCUCGUAAUUGUAUUGGUACUAGACCAUAAAUAGCUUCGACAGUAAGCCUCAAUUGCAUUUAAUACUUUUGAGGGAAUAGCAAAUAUUUGUGACCAAUAUGCCUGAAUACCAAACAAUACUGUUUGAAUUAGCUGGGCCCUUCCUGCGUAUGAGAGCUUCUUGGCAGUCCAAGCAGUAAUUCUAGAUAUCAUGUUGUUGAUCAAAGGUUGCCACUGUAUUAGGGAUAUCUUCUUUGUAGCUAAAGGUAUCUCUAAAUAUCUGAAUGGUAGGUCACCUUUAGUGAAUUCUAGUAAUUGCAGUAUUUGAUUUUAAACCUCUUUAGUAACUCAUCCAAAAUAAAUGGAUCUUUUAUCUUUGUUGGCUUGAAGACCUGAGGCCUCAGAGAACUCCAUGAAACGUCUUCUAAUAGUAGCCACAGAUUCAAUAUCACCUCUUGAAAAUAGCAAAAGAUCAUCUGCAAAGGACAGAUGAGUUAUUGAUAACUUAGAGCACUUUGGGUGAUAUUUGAAUCUUUUACUUCCUUUCACUUCAUUAAGCAUCCUACUAAGAUAUUCCAUGGCUAUUGCAAAUAGUAAAGGAGAAAUCAGAUCUCAUUGCCUGAGUCCUUUAGCUGCAUUGAAAGGAACUGUUGGCUCACCAUUGACCAAGAUAGAAUAAUUCGCAGUUGUCACACAUUCUAGUACCCAUGAAAUGAACCAUGACAAUUUUCUAUACUAGGACUUAUAGUUUGUUCGGCCAAACAUUUUUUCUGGCCAAAUAUUUUUGGUUUGGUCAAAAGUAUUUUUUUUAAAGCAAAAGUGUUGGGUCAAACUUUUAGAAGGAAAAAAAAUAUAUUUUAAGUAAAAGCAGAAGUUGUUUUUGAGAAUCAUAAAAUAAUGUAGUUUUUUUCAAAAAUAUUUUUUUUGAAAAACACUUUUGAGAAAUAAGUUAUUCAAAGGUCAGCAUUUUUUGAGAAGUGCUCUUUUAAAAGUAUUUUUUUGUGAAAAAUAGUUUGUGCUUGACUAAUUACUUUAAAAAGCACUUAUUGUUUGGCCAAGCUUUUAAAAAAUAUUUUUAAUUGCAUUUUUUUCAAAAGUGCUUUUCAAAAAAGUGUUUCUGGGAGAAGCUACUUUUUUCUGCUUCUCUAAAAUUAUUUCUGCUUCUCUAAAAUUAUUUCUUCUUUUACCCAAAAGCACUUUUUUCUCUCUAAAAGCUUGGCAAAACACCUCAACCUUGAAAAAAAAAGUACUUUUUUUGAAAAAUUUCACUGAGGAAUUUCAUUUGUCGAAUUUAAAACUCCAUAACAUUAAUUAGAUGGGCUAACAAGUCACAAUUCGUGGAUAGGUCAUGUGAUUAGCUUUUAACGAAAAUGAGUUGCAUGGCCUAUUUGUAUAGUGCACUCUGUGCAUGGGUGAUUGUUCUUGUGAUUGAAUAUAUAAAUCUUUUUGGUACUCAUAUUACAAAAGACAAUUUUUGGAAAUUAGAAUGCCGAUAGAUGUUGAUUUAAUUCUAAUAUCUGCUUCCUCUAAAUCUUCCUCCCCUAAUCCUCUAGGUGCAAAGGUAGGGAAAAAAAAAAAACUUAAAAAGAAGUGAAUAAGUAAUUUCAGUGGUUUGGGACAAAGGCGAAUUUAGGAUUUGAAGAUGGCGGGUGCCACAAUUUCUUUUAAUGUAUACCUUGUAAUGACUAAUACGGAAUUUGUUAGGAACGUUUAUUCGAUUUUUUUGAGUUUAUUCGGGUAAACUAAUAGGUAUAUUUUAUUUGUAUAAAAAAAACAAACAUAAUUAGCAUUUUAAUUAAAUAAGGAAUCACCUUUUUAUUAUAACAACACAAGUAAAAUUAUUUUUACUAGAAAAUUACGUCUUUUCUGUAUAUUAAAAACAAAAUAUACAUAAGUAAGAUAACAUCUUUAAUGAGGGAAUUACAUCAACCGGAAUAACAAAUUUUAAAAAAUGUCUUCAAUAGAUAAAUUAUAUCCCAUAAGUAUAAAGUUAAAUUAACUGCAAGUUCCCAAAAAUCAAUAUCAUAAAUCUCAUAUUUUUAAGUAACGCUUUCGAAUUUCAUUAUAAUUUAAUAGUAAAGAGAUUUAAAUUAUAUUUAAUAACCAUAGAAUAACACAACUUUUUAGGAUAUAAUAAAAAAGAUGAAUUUUUUUUAUCUCAAUCCAAAAUUCCCAUUAAGACCCAAGUUUUUUGGAUUUGAAAGAAGAAAGCUCAUAAAUUUAAGAUUAAGAGGCAUACUUAUUUUAUAUAAUUUAAAGUUUUGGAAUCUCCUUUUUCAGUGUUCUUGCUAAGGACCACAUAUAAAAUAAUAGAAUAGAGAACAAAAAAUUAUAAGAAAUAAUAAAACGACAAAUAGAAAAUUUAACACCUUUGUCUAGUUUAUGGUACCACCUGUCUUUCAAAAAGAUCUACCAGUCAUGGCACAUUUGUCUAGUUUAUGGUUGCGGGUGGCAGGAACAGAUAUUAAACCUAGUUUAAGAAAAUUUAGACAUAAAUAUAUAAAAAAAUUAUCAUCUUAGCAGGUCCAUGCCACCCCUUCCUAAAGGGGUGAUCCGCCACUGGUUUGGGAUAUUUUGUAAUCAACUACAACCGUAAUUGAAAUGAAGGAAGAAAUCUAAAAAGAUAUAUUCACCUUUAUUAUUCAUGUUAAAACUUAUAUCUUUAUAUAAAUUAUCAUUUUUAUGUUUGAUUAUAUCCCUGAAAAUAAUGGGAGCAAUAAAAAGGAAUGGAAAGAUAAAAAAUAAAAUCUGUAAAUGAGAAAGGAUCUUAGAGAAUACACGCUUCCUGUAACCAAUCAAUAUUAACUGACGUGAUAUUGACUGUUGUAAUCUAUGGGUGAAAAUCUGGUAAGUACACUAUUUCCUUUAAAUAACUUACUAGGAGUAUUAGAUUUACAAAAUCCAGUUCUUUUCCAGUUAUACAGAAUAAUUGACCGUUGUGGUUUUACUUCACGCGCACGUGCACGGACUGUAAAUUGAAAUUACUGUCACACUAGUGGCAUUCUCCCGUAAUUAUAUCCAAAUCCAAGCCCGAAUUACAUCAACUUCGGUCACGAUUUUAAACCCUUGAUUUACCUCCUCCCUGAUAUUUUCUAACGUUUUCACCACAAGUUUUAUUUUAUUACUAUUUUUUGUCUCAUAAAUUUGUAGACCCUAAUCUUAUAUUUUUGGAUUCAUAAAAUUGUGAAACAAAAAAGUUAUAGUGUCAGUUUGUACGAGACACAAAAUAAAAAAUUUCAACAACCUCCAGACUCCACUUGUCAGUAUAUUAUUCGUCUGUUCCCUCUAUAAAAUGACCUCCUCCAUUGCCUUACGCUCUCUAACUAUUCUCUCACUUUCUCUCUCUAGCUAUAGAUAGGCCUUUCUCUCUCACGCAUACAAUCUCAGAUCUGUAUAUGUACAGUAAAUAGAUACACGUAUGUUCAGUUUGCAUUUAUCGCGGCGGUCUCUCAUUCGCUUGGUGCAGGUCGGGACCUGCCUCGCCGGCGACAAUGACGUCAGCUGACGGUGACGGUGGCGUAUCGAUAGAUAUACAUGUUGUUUAUGACGAAAUUUUGGUCCCGCCUUGCAUCAACUGAAUCGGAGACUGCGGUGAAUUUUAAUUGUUUCAAGUAAAUCAGCUUUGUUAUGGAUCGAUCUAAUAUCUACCGAUUGUUUCCUGUGAGGUAUUGAAUUUUUCAAAUGACUUUUGAUAUUAUUUGCUUUAUUUUUGUGUUGUAUUUCGAUUGAAUUUUGCUGGAUCUAACUUUGUCUGUUGAGCAGCGUAUAACUCCAGUGAUAGAUCUAAGAGUAUUUUGCAAAUUCGAUGCCAUCAGUUAAAUGAAGAUGUUUGAUUUUAUUGAGUACAGUUAAUGUUAUGAUUUAGGUAAUCUGUAAUUAAGAAACGUGAUAGAUUGUAUUGGAAGCUUUUCUGCAUUAAUUCCCUUUUUAGGUAGAUUAGGAGGAUGAAGUAACUAAAAGAUUCGGUUUUUGUUGAAUGCUACGUUAAAACUUUGUUACACUGUACUAGAAUCGGCUUUAGAGGCGUUUAGUGCUGUUGUUUUUGCACAGAAUUUGAGUAGCACAAUAAAUUUGUUGAAAAGGAAGAGUUUUUCCCCA